rnacentral:tRNA from 1 species
GCAUCGAUGGUCCAACUGGAAGGGCGCGCGACUGCUUGUCGCGAGAUAGAAGUUCGAAUCUUCUUCGAUGCA